UGGUUGCACUGUGCAUCACUUGUUUUGUAUAUUCUAUUUGUUUUAUAAUUAUUAUUACUAUUUUCUCUUCCUUUUCUGUACUAUUAAACUGUCUUUUUCUUAACCCAGGAAUUUUACAUCUUUUCCCCCCCAGUUUCCUGUCCUGUCCUACUGAGGAAAAGCAUCUGGCCUUGCCUUAUCUAAGGGUCUGGAGGCAGCCUGGACUUGAAGAGUGGUAAGAAAGAUAUUAAGCUGUAAGAGAGCAUCCAAAGAUUUUAUUUAUCGCUGAAACUUAAUUACUGGAACACAAGAAGGCAUCAAAGAAUAAAGGAUGUUAAAGGAAGAAGCAAACUGUUGGACUGGCAUGUGAGUUGUAAAUACAGUUGCCUUUCACUUUGCUGACAGGCACUGAAGCUAAAUUUUAACAAGAACCUGGUCGUUUUCUGAACAAUUUGUAUCAAUUUACAGCUGCUGCUCUAUUUUGGGUAAUGGAGCAGUUUUAUGUUCAGCUAUACAGGUGAAUUGUUUUAAUGUCUUCUUGGAAUGACUAUCUUUCACUUUGCUGAACGAAGGGAUAUAAUUAUACACUUUAUAACUAGUGAAAAUUGUGCUAAACAUUCGAAAAUUUUAAGUAAUGUUGUCGAGAUUUUGGUCAAUUCCAGGUCCAUCCCUACACUUAGUACCUACGAGAAACUGUAAGUUUAUCAAAUGCAAACAAGAAAGCUGACAGGGUGCUGAUGGCUAUUUUCAAUCUGCCCUUUGGUUGAGAUUCCAGACUGAGAAUUUCCUGGUGAAAACAUUUCCCAAGUAGGUUACUUCUCCAGCUAUAGCUACACCAACAACAGUCACUGUACUGUAGCACAACGAGCACCUCUCACCACUACUAUUAUAUAUUAUGACUCCAGUUUAAACUCCUAGGCCGCAGUCAGCUUUCUGAAGACUAUUUCUCAGUCCAGUUUUUUCCCCUAUGAAUUUUAAAACACCACUAAAGCCAAGAUUUUCAUGGGUUUUGCAAUUGUGAAUAUUGUUCAUGCUCUGUAAUGGGUCUGUGUGUGGCAACUACUAAUCAAUGCCUAUUGUGUACCAAAAUGGUGUCAACUGCAUCUGAAAUUUACACAUCUCAAGGGUUUUAUGUUUCUUUGUCUUAAAUGUCUAAUUAUUUUAAUGAGGGAACUGUUGAGGGGAGUGCUAACGCAGUAAAGCCAUUUUGUAUCUCUGUAAUUUCUCCAGUCUGCUUUUUGACAAUGUCUAUUGUUUCAAGUGCCUUGCAAGAUAAACAACUUUUCACAGUAAAAAUCUGCUAGGUACUGGA